rnacentral:rRNA from 1 species
CGGUAAUUCCAGCUCCAAUAGCGUAUAUUAAAGUUGUUGUGGUUAAAAAGCUCGUAGUCGAACCUUGGGCCUGGCUGGCCGGUCCCCCUCACCGGGUGCACUGAUCCAGCCGGGCCUUUCCCUCUGUGGAACCCCAUGGCCUUCACUGGCUGUGCGGGGGAAACAGGACUUUUACUGUGAAAAAAUUAGAGUGCUCCAGGCAGGCCUAUGCUCGAAUACAUUAGCAUGGAAUAAUAGAAUAGGACGUGUGGUUCUAUUUUGUUGGUUUCUAGGACCGCCGUAAUGAUUAAUAGGGACAGUCGGGGGCAUCAGUAUUCAGUUGUCAGAGGUGAAAUUCUUGGAUCUACUGAAGACUAACUACUGCGAAAGCAUUUGCCAAGGAUGUUUUCAUUGAUAAGGAACGAAAGUUAGGGGAUCGAAGACGAUCAGAUACCGUCGUAGUCUUAACUAUAAACUAUGCCGACUAGGGAUCGGACGAUGUUAUUAUUUGACGCGUUCGGCACCUUUCGAGAAAUCAAAGUGCUUGGGCUCCAGGGGGAGUAUGGUCGCAAGGCCGAAACUUAAAGAAAUUGACGGAAGGGCACCACCAGGGGUGGAACCUGCGGCUUAAUUUGACUCAACACGGGGAAACUCACCAGGUCCAGACACAGUGAGGAUUGACAGAUUGAGAGCUCUUUCUUGAUUCUGUGGGUGGUGGUGCAUGGCCGUUCUUAGUUGGUGGAGUGAUUUGUCUGCUUAAUUGCGAUAACGAACGAGACCUUAACCUGCUAAAUAGCCCGUACUGCUCUGGCAGUUCGCUGGCUUCUUAGAGGGACUAUCGGCU